UAACAGCAUAGUAAAAUAGUUAAUUUUCAGCUCUUCACUGAUACUGAGUCUUAGCUUUUAUUUAGUCAAAAUAUCUGAAUACAUACUGUGAGUUAAGUGCUUUUGUCCUCUUCUGAAAAGAAUAGCUGCUCGUUAGAGAUUGAGACGCCUUUUGCAUACAGAGACUUUCCUAGUUGAGUACUUUAGUAUCAACUAACUGGGGGCCUAACUCAACGCAUUGGUAAAGGUAUUAAUAUCUUUGAUUCAACUAGAGCACACAUUACCUGAUUUAGGUGAUGCCACUGAACAGUUAGGUAUUUCCAACGAUGUUUUCUGGGUGUUUGUGCCUGACUUAGAAGGCUGUUUCAGCUGGGCGUGGUGUAACCUGGAUGGAGGUGCAGGAUGAUGUCUGCUUCAAGAGCCCCGACACUUCAGCCUGCCUGUCGGUGUGAACAUGCUGCAUGCUGAACUGGGCUUACGAGGCUGGAAAACGGAGAAGAGACAAGAAGCUGCAAGUCGUGACUGUAACCUGCUUUAAAUAUUGGUUGGUAUUUGGUUAGAAGGGUGGUCAAGUCCCUGUGAGGAGCAGGAAGGUGCUCGGGUAAUGUGUGAUGCGCUUAAUAAAAAUGCGGCUCUUGGUUGAGAGGAAGCCUUUGCUUCCAGGCCUUAUUUCAAAUCCUGCUGGGUCAGUUGACAUCAUGGAUAUUUUCACGAGGAGGCUCCUUAGAAACCUGUCCAAAUUAACAGAUUGGGUGUCUUGGCGCAAUUCCCCGUUAUUGUGCAAGCGCUGCUCUCGCAGCAGGCUCCUCUUCUGACAUUUGAAACGCAGAGGGAAAAGGUUGAAUCUUGGAAAUAGUUGCCCGUGCCAGGUUGGGGUGAGAGGUGGGCUGGGAAACUCUGUGUGUGAUUAACUGGAGACUGAUGGCUAAAUCUAUCUAUUUUUAUUGGCAGUAAACCGAAAUUUAAAGUAAAGCCGCUGUAAUUUGCUGCCGAGUGAGCGGAGUUACCGCUGAAGGCACUGGAGCUGCGCGUGUGCCUCGGGACAGAGCGUCGCUUGUGAAGACAGCGUUCGGCUCUUCGGCGCUCUGGCUUUCCGCAUUUACAGGGCCCUCGUGCUUUUUACCCAUACAGACCCGGGGUGUUGUCAGUGGAUCUGAAAGGAGGAAACCUGAGGAUGGAGCUGCUGCCUUCAAGAGUGGAUGAGGCUGGUGGUGUGGCAGCGCCGAGGUGCUCUCUGCAAUUGCGUAGAUUUUUGUCUCGACGGGGCUGUAGUCCAGCUGUCUCCUCAGAGUUUGCCAGUCCUUACCAAACGUACCUGCAAAGCGCUUGCCUGGCUGGCUGCAUAGUUACCACACGAGAGGGGAUUUGAAUAGGUCUUCCUGUCCAAAAAUUGCAUUGUGUUCAACUUAAAAGGCCUCUCUCAAAGUCUAAACUAAGUUAUUGGCUGAUGUGGCACUCGGCGCAAUACUCGGAGCAGCUCAGAGCCAGCCUGCAAGAACUGCGCUGUGAUUCGCGUGGAUUCAGUUGCUGCUUGAAGGCAGGUGCCUCUGCACCGCAAAAAGUGGCAUCACUUUGUGCCGCAGGAUUUUGCUUCGGUGACUUAAAAUUAUGUUGCUGGAGUUUUAAAUAAAUAAAUACUACCCUUUCAGAACAAAAUUUAAGCAUUACAUUAUAGCUUCUGUAGGAACAUAUCUCUGAAAUAAUUUUACUUAUUUACGUUACAAAGUGAUUGCAGUAUGUGCUGAAAUUCACCUUUCCAUGAUUCACGUUGCUAGAAUGCACAUGUGGAAGAGGUACAAGAAAUUCUUUUGCUUAAACAUCAGUCCUGGAGACUCAACAUUUUCUUUCCAUAUUCAAAAAGAAAUUUAUCUUUUUGUGAUACUCAUUGAUAAUUAACUGCUCUGCGCACUGCAUCUUACUAUUCUAUGGGCCCGAAGAUUUUUCUGUUGGAAACAAAAGGAAAAUCGAUUUCAACAAAUUCAGUUGUUGCCUUCUUAUUAGGUUCCGGUAUUCAAUGUAAAUUAAUGUUUUGAAUUUAUGUCAUCGAUCAAUAGGUGCAACUAUUGAUUUGGGAUGUAUGAGGUAAAAAGUGAAUAAAUAAGUUUUUGUCUUUGUUUUUAUAACAUGAAAACAUGUCAAAGUUUAUUGAGCUGCAAGUUACUUUGUAGUGAACCUGAGGCGGAAUCAGAAACACAAGAAUAAUGUUAGUCUAUUUAUUUCUUGGAUGCUGAUAGAUUUUUCUUAAAAUGCUGACUGACAGGUAAUUUUAAAAGUUUAUUUAGAAAGCUGGGGUGUAAGGGUUUGCUGUCUGAUCACAGGUCCUGAUGCCCAUUCGAUCUUCUGUGGGACCUGUUGAGAAGUGGGAAGUUAUCUUGCAUACAAUCCUUUUAAUUGUGGUUUUGUGCCUUUUGUGUAAAUUUGCUCAAUUACAGGUGCUGGUAGAGCUGUGACCAUGCUGUGCUGAUUCAGUAGUUCAGGGCCAAUUUCAGGCUCUCGCUCACCUCAUGGACAAUGAUAUCUCGACUUGAUAUUGGCUGAAGGAGAUGACUAUUUCCACAAUCCCUUAACAUGCCAUAGCUGUGAGACUGGGAAAGUCAAGUAGCGGUGGAGGCUGUUUAAGGGGAGGAAGGAACUAAUAAUAUGCUGGAAAACUGAGGGGGACAAAAAGGAAUUUGAAAAUCGGAGGGAAGCAGCAGUUGAAAACGAAUCUGUUCCAAGGUCUGAGCUUGCAGUACUGUGAAGAUAGGACAGAGCAGAAGUACCAGUGCGGUCAUCUCCUAAUGGUCCAAAAUCAAGAGAGAGGUCAAACCAGUCACAGACUUACAAUGCACAAAUUCAGGCUCAUCCAUCCUGGUAUUACAUUAGCAAUUCUACUUUGUUCUUCUGUGAAGCAAGUUUCAGUUUACAGGUACAUCUGCUUUCCAUUCCACGGCUUAAAGAAAGUCAUCAGGAAAAUCUUAAAACCUACUUAAUGAAGCCUUUUAAAUGCUCAUCCUGCACUUUUGAGUGAAGUGCAAUUUAUAUUUCAUAAAAGUAGAAGCUGAGCUGCAAGCUGUAAGUAAUUAUCAUAUAAUUAAAUGUCUACUAUGAAAGAAAUGAAAACUCAGGCUUCUUGGGAGGCUUCUGCGACUCGUUUAUGCAAUCACAAAUUAAAUUACAUUUCUUUACCUUAUGAAUGUUCUGGAGGUACAUUAACCCAGUUUGGAGAUGCACCUCUGAGACUGCUAAGCUGCUUUGAAAGGGGAAGUUCAUCAAACCAGUAAAUUCCAUGGGCCAAGAAGAAGAACACGUAAAUAUCUGUGAUGGGUUCUGCAAAUACCCUUCUCUUCCCCCCGUGCUGUCUGUGAGUGCUCCCAGAGCCCCGACGUCGCCUCGCCUGCAGCUGCAGGGGGAUGGUGUAAGGCUGCCUUGCGGACUCCCGCUCAGCCGAGACUCCUGUGGGAUCUCGUCAGCUUGUUUCGAGGUGACCUGAGUUGAACAAGGCUACCUUUAAGAAAAUGGCAUGAUGAAGAGCUGCAGUCCCUGCUGUGGCUGGUACGAAGUGGUACCCGCUUUGCUAUAAUCAUCACUCCCAGGCCAGGCUGUGGAGACUUGGGCUAACGUGUCAGUACGUCUGCGUGUGAAGCUGCAGAGAGUCACAGUGAAUUAAUUUGCUGUUUGCUUCUGCUCCUUGCUUUCAAGUCUGCCGCAAAGCCUUGGACCUGGCUGACACUAGAAGGGAUGACUAUCAAUCAGCAUGGGCCGCUGGCUGUGCUGCUGCCCAGCUCCGCAGGCGUGUCAGCCCCACGGACCGCACUGCCGCCUCCAGCAGCAUCUACCAGGAGAGUGAGCAGAGGUCUCUGCUGGAUGCCCCUCGUCCUGCCUGGGACGCAGCCGGAGACCGUGCUGGAUGCUUCGACCUGGAUUUUGUGGACCUAGACGUUUGAUGUACACCCAGCCCUGUGAGUGCAGCCUGCACCAAGUGGGUAUCGCUGGGGUUGAAUUUUGAGGCAACCUGUGAUGGUAAUUCAGCAUAACACUGGGGAGUCAAGGUAGGGAGAUAUGUCCCUAGUUUAUUUUUAUCCUGUAACAUGCAAAAAAUUUAACAGUUCUAGCGGAUUCUGAUUUCAGAGCGACUGACAAGUAUUUUCUUCCCCAAAUUUAAUUUGAACUAACAAUUCUUUAAGCACUCCAAGCUAAAUUGGCCGUGGCACUGUCAGGUUGGCUUUAAGUAUUGCCCUUCCCACUCCUGGUAGCUGGAACAGUUGUGCUUUUGUUUUACAAUUAAUAUUUUGAUGAAAACUUGUAAGGUACUGUAGGCAUAAAUAUUUAAUAUCUUCCCUCCAUGUUUCUUUAUUGCUGAGCUUAGUGAUAAGUUAGUAAUUCAGACUUAAAUGCAGAUAAAACAGUAAUGUGAACAGUUUAAAUCUGCAUUUUUCCAAAGCUCCUGUGGUCAAGAUGACUGCGUUCUAGCAAGAGUAUUGCUAUUUAAAAUUGUUUACCUCUAUACUUCAGCUGAAUGCUGCUGUAUAUGAUAAAUGAGGUAAAUAAAGGUGCCUUUCGGGUCCCAAUAACUGCACAAGAAACCUAAUCAUUCUCACUAACAUAAAAUAAUUUAACAAAUGGAACAGUGCCAUAGCAGCCUAAUAAGAAAUUUCUGAAUACUGCACCACAUAUGGCCAAAGCCUCUUGAGGCAUAAUUCAAGCUUUUUUCUUUCUUCCCCAUUUAUAGUAGGUUUGUUUCAUGUUUAAUGUGGAAUAAAACUUUGUGGGCAGCAUCCCACAUUUUGUUUUUUCGGUUUAUUUAGUUUUUGAUCUGGACACGAAACACUAUUAUUUACCUUUGUGCCAUGAUAACUGGUACCACUUCACCUUAUAGGUAAAAAACAUAGGAAUUCAUGGCACUGUUCCUUGGGAGAGGGUAGACUGCUGACAUAAGGUUCAGAUUUUCAUCUCUUUACAGACACACCUAUGUCUCUUAAGCCAGAUAGAACGAUGCCUUUAAAGGCAAAUGUUAAAGCCCGUGUCCCACUGUCUCUUCUUCCUCCUUUCCUUCCUUCUUUGGCUCCCCCAGAAGAAAGUAAUUUCUGAGCAGAUGGAGAUAUUACUAUUUAAUAAGAGUAAUCUUUGCACAACACUGAUGGGCUUUUGCUAGCCAAGACAGUGUCAUUUGGCUUUGUAUUUUUAAAUACUGUUAUUCUUAACAGCAUUACCAUUUGAGGAAAAAGAAGUUAAUCUACCGCUUUGUUAGUGUAAUCUGGGUUAUCUCCUGUGGAGAUGCAUUUGCGAGGCUUUGGUCUGAGGGAAUUUGUCUGGAAUUUAAGUACUUCUACUGCUCGCUUAAGCAGGAUAAACAUCUUGGGUUUCUGUCUAGAGUACACACUGGCAGAGAGCACCAAACAGAGAUUUAAUAAAAUUUCAAAUUCCUCUCCAAAGCACAGUUUAGUUGCAGGUUUUGUAUGUUUAUCUGAAGAGUCAACUUGUGCCCUAAUCCUACACUUUGAUCCACUUUGUAAGCCUUUCUGUCUUGUCUUGCAGAUGCCAAUGUAGAUGUACCUCAUGUAGAAAUGCAAAUAAAAAUAGAGUUGAGGGGAAAUGCAACUUUAUUAGAGCCUCAGGAUCCUCAAGAAACGUUUAUCCCAAAGUCUGCUGGUUAAAACAAACAUAAGAACCAUCUGUGAGAGUGUGUCUCAAUUCCAGCUGUUUGAAUCCAACCAUUACUUGAAAUCUAUGGAUACUAAAAUCUCCUUGGCCUCGUUACAUCUUAAUUGUAAGAGAGGCUGGAUGUUGCCGGUGUGUUUUGCACAACCUUCUCCAGAAAGCUCCUGGCAGCCGUGGAGAUGAGCUGUCCCCAGCGGAAGAGUGGCAGUCGGAUACGCCAUCACCUUGCACUACUCCAGCUUCCCGCGAGCAUAAGAUGCCGUUUGGGAGUAGCACGAGCCUGAGCGUGGCUCUGCGUGCAGUUGUAAUCGUGUGGCUCCAAAUGAGACUGCUGCCGGCGUCUGUCCGUGCAAAUAAGCGCGGGUCAAGGCUGGUUUGCCUCAUGGCUCGCUCUGCAGAUGCAGCCUGGUGAGUGGACGUCCGAGAUGAAGUUCGUGCCCUUCAAGAGACUUGGGGAACGAGGCCGAGCUCCGAGUUGAGGCGUCAGUGGAGGGGAGGAGGUGGGGAGCUUUGUUUGGGCGGUGGUUCAAGGGCUGUUAGCGCUAACUGUGUGAAAAUACGCCUUCCUCAUUGGAGUCAACGUCUGAGUAUCCUAACAAAUGCGGGAGCACGCCUGUUAACAAGAAAUCAUUUUCUGAUGGCUACUUUUGUUGCUGUAAUGUUUUUCCUGCCCUUCUACACAGGAUCUUGUCUUACAGGUAUUUGCUUUCCGUAUGGAUCUCUUGCUGUUCAUCAGUGCAUUGUCAUCCUGCCUUCUGUGUUCUCCUUUCCCCAAGAAGUCCAUAUAACCUGCUAAAGUUAAACUGCUGGGAUUUCCCCCCGACUUUAAACAGUUUCUUUUACUCCUAUUAGUUUGUUUGGAAAGUUGAAAAGCCGGAGUAAUCAAAAAUAAUCAUUGGUGUCAAAACUAUUAUGAAUUAUUAAAAGGAGCACAGCAACGGGAGCUACAGAUAAUUCCUCAUUCUGAAAAUGAGCACGUCUUAUGUUAUUGCUGCAGUAAUUACCUAAAAAUACCUAAUACUUAAUUACUUCCAAGGUGUCAAUCUUCAUAACAGUUUAUUAGAAAAUUCUAAUGGAUGGAGCAGCUGCUUCCACAAGCAAAUCUAUUUGUGGCUGAACCUGACAUUCUGCUCUAAAUAUUAUUCCACCUUGAUCAACGUUAUUUCUCCACGUAUAUCUUGUUACAGCUGUAACAGAUUGGGAAGGGAGGGUUUAUCCAGCUGCAGCGGGAAUUGCUCUGCUCACUCAUGACUUCCAUCUUCAUACUGUUAGAGCAAGUAGAAAUGCUUGCAACCAAUUUAUAAC